rnacentral:tRNA from 1 species
GGGGUUGUGGCUUAGUGGUAGAGUGCAUGCCUAGCAUGAGUGAGGCACUGGGUUCGAUCCUCAGCACCACA